CUCGUUCGCGGCAGCGUGCCCCGGUGCCGCCAUCAGAAGGGCCAGAAGAAUCGCCCGGCAGGCCCGGCCGGGCGGGAAAAGAAAGCGCGUCGAAGAAAAGCCCGCUGGCCCAGGAAAGCGCAUGGCGGGAAGUAUGGCCGAUA
rfam:Mesorhizobium loti R7A genomic scaffold MesloDRAFT_Scaffold1.1, whole genome shotgun sequence.